rnacentral:tRNA from 1 species
GAGUCGCUAGCUCAGCUGGUAGAGCACCGGCCUUUUAAGCCGAGGGUCGGGGGUUCGAUCCCCCCGCGACUCAC